rnacentral:lncRNA from 1 species
CCUUCCUUUGGCCAUAUAGAGUCCAAUAUGAUGCAUCAGAUCCUUCAAUAUCAAAUGGUAAGUUGAUUGUAAGGUUCUUCCUUCAGCAUCUCCUAGAGAGCAUCCAGUUUAUGUCCAGUAAUGUUUUACUGGUUCCAAAACAAUGUAAUUUGCAACUCAUGAUUGUGAAAACUUAACACAGGAGCAAUAUCCUUUAACCCUUUUAAGUUUCCAACAAUCAUGCAUUUUUUUUUUGAGGGAAUAGGAGGGGCAGAGCCUACUGAAUAAAAUAAAUUUAACUAAACAAGGUGGUAUAUGUUCAUUUGGAAAGGAAAUGGUUCUCUUUCUUUUUGUACGUGCAAACUUUCUUGCUGUUGGCAUGAAAUAAAUUUUGUAAAGGUGCUGUAUAUGGAGAAAAGGCUCAGACAACAACCACCCUAAUGUGUAAAUGUAAAUGGAUUGAGCAGUUUCAUAUUGAAAAUUUCUAGGUUUAGUUUUCCCUGAGGAUAACUUUUCAUUCGUUCUUUUUAUAUAUAUAAAUGUGAUUGUGGUCAUCUGAAGAUUCCCAUAAUGUACGGUUAAUUUUUUGAAUGUAUGGAUAUCAAUGAUUCGGUACCUGUGGAUGGGCAAGAGCUCCUUUGAUAUUCAUAGCAAUCUCAACAGGAAGGUCAUAUGUAGCACACCCCUCUGAAUAAAUCACGACAUCCUGUAAUGGUGGUACUCGGUCAAUA